GCGGGCGUGGCGAAAUUGGCAGACGCACCAGAUUUAGGUUCUGGCGCCGUGAGGCGUGGGGGUUCAAGUCCCUCCGCCCGCA
rnacentral:tRNA from 19 species